rnacentral:rRNA from 1 species
UACGGAGGGUGCAAGCGUUAUCCGGAUUUACUGGGUUUAAAGGGUGUGUAGGCGGGCUUUUAAGUCAGUGGUGAAAUCUCCGGGCUCAACCCGGAAACUGCCAUUGAUACUAUUAGUCUUGAAUUCUGUUGAGGUAGGCGGAAUAAGUCAUGUAGCGGUGAAAUGCAUAGAUAUGACUUAGAACACCAAUUGCGAAGGCAGCUUACUAAACAGAUAUUGACGCUGAGGCACGAAAGCGUGGGGAGCAAACAGG